rnacentral:lncRNA from 1 species
CUAAGAUAAAUGAUAUGAGACUAGCCACUCCACUCAGGGGAAAUCACUCAUCCCAACCAUGGAGAUGGUCUUCAGAUAGAAAGACACACGUAUUUCCAAAUGUCUGUCCUAUUCUGUCUUAAAUUAUGUCAUUCACAUGAUGCCAAUAGUUCAAUGUAUUUUGUGCUACAUUAAGUCCUGUGCAGUUUUUUGUCAAAAUUUCCCUCUAAGGUGAGAUCAAAAAGAAAUAAAGUCCUGGAACCAGGCCUGAGUGAAGAGUG